GAUGAACGCUGGCGGCGUGCCUAAUACAUGCAAGUCGAACGAAGCGGGGACGCGUGAGUAACACGUGGACAACAUCCUAUCAGACUGGGUUAACUUCCGGAAACCGGAGCUAAACCGGAUACUCAUAGCUGGACCCGCGCUGAAUUAGCUAGUUGGUAAGGUAACGGCUUACCAAGGCAACGUGGCAUAGCCGACCGUACAGGGUGGUGGGAAGGGAUGGGACUGAGACUCGGUCAAGACUACUACGGGAGGCAGCAAUAGUGAAUCUUACGCAAUGGGCGAAAGCCUGACAGAGCUACGCCGCGUGAGUGAUGAAGAACUUCGGAUCAAACAACUCUGUUAUUGGGAAAGCGGUACCUAAUCAGAGAGCCACGGCUAACUACGUGCCAGCAGCCGCGGUAAUAC
rnacentral:rRNA from 1 species